AAAAUGCGAUACGUAGUGUGAAUUGCAGAAUUCCGUGAACCAUCGAAUCUUUGAACGCAUAUUGCGCUCGAGGCCUCGGCCGAGAGCAUGUCUGCCUCAGCGUCGGGUUAAUCCUCGCCCCCAUUUCCCCCCAUCUGUCCACACUUAAUUGUGUGUGCAUGUGGGAGGCUAAGUGGGCGGAUAUGGCAGUCCCAGUACAUUCACAUGCGCUGGGUCUGCUGAAGCUGAGAGGUUGAAUCAUGGACCCGUCAAAGGGCCGCAGUUGGUUAGGCAGCCUUGUGCUCGCUCUCUUCUAGCUGUUGGCCUGGGUCAGUGCGUUCGACCCUCCAAACAGGAACCCCAAAACGUCAUUACCUCGACCUGAGCUCAGGCAAGAACACCCGCUGAACUUAA
rnacentral:misc_RNA from 1 species